UUUCCUGUGGCUCAGUUGGUUGAGCAUUACACUACUAAUGCAAAGCUUGUGGGUUCAAAUCUUAGGGAAC